rnacentral:rRNA from 1 species
UUUGUUUUUUAAUUAAAAACUAGAAUGAAAGGUUAUACAUUCAAAUUUCUUUAUUAAUUUUUUAUAAAUAAUUUAUAUUAAAUAUAAAAAUAUAUUUUUAAAUAAAAAAGACGACAAGACCCUAUUAAAUUUAACUUAUAGUUUAGCUGGGGAAGCUUUUUAAAUAAAAUUUUUAUAAAAUUUUUAAAAAUAUAUUUAAUAAAAUUAAAAUUAAAAUAAAUUACUAUAGGGAUAACAGCGUUAUAUUUUUUAAAAGUUCUUAUUUAAAAAAAUAAUUGCGACCUCGAUGUUGAAUUAUAUUUUCUAUAUUAAUGCAAUAAUUAUAAAAGUAGAUCUGUUCGAUCUUUAAAAUAUUACAUGAUUUGAGUUCAAACCGGUGUAAACCAGGUUGGUUUCUAUCUUUUAUAUAUAUUUAUAUAUUUUUUAAGUACGAAAGGAAAAAAAAAUUUUUAUUUUUAAUUAUUUAGCAAAUUAAUAUGCAUUAGACUUAGAAUCUAAAUAAAAUAUU